rnacentral:rRNA from 1 species
GACGAACGCUGGCGGCGUGCUUAACACAUGCAAGUCGAACGGAAAGGCCCUGCUUUUGUGGGGUGCUCGAGUGGCGAACGGGUGAGUAACACGUGAGUAACCUGCCCUUGACUUUGGGAUAACUUCAGGAAACUGGGGCUAAUACCGGAUAGGAGCUCCUGCUGCAUGGUGGGGGUUGGAAAGUUUCGGCGGUUGGGGAUGGACUCGCGGCUUAUCAGCUUGUUGGUGGGGUAGUGGCUUACCAAGGCUUUGACGGGUAGCCGGCCUGAGAGGGUGACCGGCCACAUUGGGAUUGAGAUACGGCCCAGACUCCUACGGGAGGCAGCAGUGGGGAAUAUUGCACAAUGGGCGGAAGCCUGAUGCAGCAACGCCGCGUGCGGGAUGACGGCCUUCGGGUUGUAAACCGCUUUCGCCUGUGACGAAGUGUGAGUGACGGUAAUGGGUAAAGAAGCACCGGCUAACUACGUG